UACGUAGGGGGCUAGCGUUGUCCGGAAUCAUUGGGCGUAAAGCGCGCGUAGGCGGUCAGGUAAGUCCGUGGUGAAAGCCCGAGGCUCAACUUCGGAUCGGCCAUGGAUACUCCUGGGCUCGAGCACUGUAGAGGCAGGUGGAAUUCCGGGUGUAGCGGUGGAAUGCGUAGAGAUCCGGAAGAACACCGGUGGCGAAGGCGGCCUGCUGGGCAGUAGCUGACGCUGAGGCGCGACAGCGUGGGGAGCAAACAGG
rnacentral:rRNA from 1 species